rnacentral:rRNA from 1 species
AUUGAACGCUGGCGGCAGGCCUAACACAUGCAAGUCGAACGAGUGGCGGACGGGUGAGUAAUGUCUGGGAAACUGCCUGAUGGAGGGGGCUAACUACUGGAAACGGUAGCUAAUACCGCAUACCAUCAGAUGGGCCCAGAUGGGAUUUGCUAGUUGGUGGGGUAACGGCUCACCAAGGCGACGAUCCCUUGCUGGUCUGAGAGGAUGAACAGCCACACUGGAACUGAGACACGGUCCAGACUACUACGUGAGGCAGCAGUGGGGAAUAUUGCACAAUGGGGGCAAGCCUGAUGCAGCCAUGCCGCGUGUAUGAAGAAUGCCUUCGGGUUGUAAAGUACUUGCAGCGGGGAGGCGUUACCCGCAGAAGAAGCACCGGCUAACUCCGUGCCAGCAGCCGCAGUAAUAC